rnacentral:rRNA from 1 species
AUUGAACGCUGGCGGCAGGCCUAACACAUGCAAGUCGAACGAGUGGCGGACGGGAGUGCAAUGUCUGCUACACUGCUUGAUGGCGGGGGUUAACUUCUGGAAACGGUAGCUAACACCGCACACCAUCACCUGUUCCCUGAUGGGAUUAGCUUGUUGGUGGGGUAACGGCUCACCAAGGCGACGAUCCCUAGCUGGUCUGAGAGGAUGACCAGCCACAAUGGAACUGAGACACGGUGCCGAGUCCUACGUGAGGCAGCAGUAGGGAAUAUUGCACAAUGGGCGCAAGCCUGAUGCAGCCAUGCCGCGUGAGUGAAGAAGGCCUUCGGGUUGUAAAAUACUUUCGGCGGGGAAGCGUUACCCACAGAAGAAGCAACGGCUAACUACGUGCCAGCAGCCGCGGUAAUUC